CCUAAUUUCAUUUUUCAGAAUCGCUGUCAUUAAGAGGUAUCCAAGAAGUAGGCGAAAACAGACAUCCAAAAGGAGGAACAGCUCCUGAAAAUGAAACGAUGAUCCAUGAUACUGAAGAACCAGGAACAUUUUAUCCUCCAAUCAACGAAACCCCCGCUGAGCCAACCGCACCAGAUCUGUCUAUCCCAGGACUGACAUGUCCACCAAUACAUGUUUCAUCAGCCUGGUCUACUUCAAACCCAUCUAGCAAGGGCUGUAAUGGAAUGUACAGCCAUCCACAUAAGGAAACAUACACAUAGUAUUAAUAGUCUAAACACAGGUUACGUUGUAGGUUAUGAGAGACGUCGUAGCUGUACUUUAUGUCAUCUCUGUCUUAUACACGAGCUAGGUGACCACAGCUAGUUUGCUGUUAAGAAACACUCGAAAUUGAUAAUGAAGACAUAAUAUGUGUUGAAAAGAUCAUUUAUUAAUGACAAAUCAAUUAAGAUAUAAAGAUAUAUCCCCAAGUUAUAAAUUAGAGAAAUUAUGACUAUAACAGCAAAGAUGGGGUAAAAAAUAGGCACGACAUGCAUAUUGCACAAACAAUACACCCAUAAUUGAUUUAAAGCAAUAAUUAUCAGCGAUAAUUAUAAAGAUUAUAUAACCUGAAGAUACCAUUUGUAUAUUAGCAAGUAUAAGGAGUCAAAAAUUGACAGAUCUUUACAUGUUACACUGGGAGGGCAUAAGAGUGGGAAAUCAAAAGUGUUACAAAAACUUCCAUCAGUGGAGAUAAACUUUUACAUUCGAUUUUCGAAAUGGAGGUGACGCUACUGAGGGUCAAUCUCCUCUGUGAUAUGUCCGGUGGCUGGGCUACGUGGCUGCUGAUUGGCUGACCAAUCAAAAGCUGAUAUCGCUUCAGCCAAAAUGACCAGAGGUCAAUCAAGUCCUGGGAAGAACUCCGCCGUAGCCGGUCCCAAGCCCGCGUUGAGAAAGGAGGAGGGGAGCACCAACUGACAACACCUAACAGUCACCCCGGACUAAUGUUCUAACCUAGAGUCGCGAAUAGAGGUUGUAACCUAAAUCGAGACUUUAAACCAGCAACAUCAACAUCAACAUCAAGUCCUGGGAAUUUUCCAUCACGUGGCCUAGGUAUGGACCUCCUUCUUGACCCCUCAAUGUUAGCCCAUCUACAUAACAACCAGAAACAAUGGAAGAUGCGAGGGUCCAAAUGCCCCUCUCAUCAUAUAAUAAACAAACAAUUACAGACUGACAUAAAUGUAUUUAUUUAUACAAAUAUAAAUGAAUGUUAUUUA